rnacentral:rRNA from 1 species
UACGUAGGUGGCAAGCGUUAUCCGGAUUUAUUGGGCGUAAAGGGAACGCAGGCGGUCUUUUAAGUCUGAUGUGAAAGCCUUCGGCUUAACCGGAGUAGUGCAUUGGAAACUGGGAGACUUGAGUGCAGGAGAGGAGAGUGGAAUUCCAUGUGUAGCGGUGAAAUGCGUAGAUAUAUGGAGGAACAUCGGUGGCGAAAGCGGCUCUCUGGCCUGUAACUGACACUGAGGCUCGAAAGCGUGGGGAGCAAACAGG